UCAAGCGACUAAGUGUAUGUGGUGGAUGCCUUGGCGAUCACAGGCGAUGAAGGACGUGACAGCCUGCGAAAAGCUGUGGGGAGCUGGCAAAUAAGCUUUGAUCCACAGAUGUCCGAAUGAGGGAACUCACCUGCUUUGCAGGUAUCCCAUCCUGAAUAUAUAGGGAUGGGAGGCGAACGAAGCGAACUGAAACAUCUAAGUAGCUUCAGGAAAAGAAAUCAACCGAGAUUCCGAAAGUAGCGGCGAGCGAAAUCGGAUCAGCCCAGCACUCGAUAGCAGCCAACUUACGGGAACGGUCUGGAAAGUCCGGCCAUAGAGGGUGAUAGCCCCUUACUGGAAAAGGCAGCUGUGGUACUAAGUGUGCGAUAAGUAGAGCGGGACACGUGACAUCCUGCUCGAAGAUGGGGGGACCAUCCUCCAAGGCUAAAUACUCGUGAUCGACCGAUAGCGUACCAGUACUGUGAAGGAAAGGUUAAAAGAACCCCGGGAGGGGAGUGAAAUAGAUCCUGAAACCGCAUACAUACAAACAGUAGGAGCCUCGUUAAGGGGUGACUGCGUACCUUUUGCAUAAUGGGUCAGCGACUUACGUUUAAUGGCGAGCUUAACCGUAUAGGGGAGGCGCAGCGAAAGCGAGUUCGAACAGAGCGUUCAGUCGUUAGGCGUAGACCCGAAACCAGAUGAUCUAUCCAUGGCCAGGUUGAAGGUGUGGUAACACACACUGGAGGACCGAACCGACUAGUGUUGCAAAAUUAGCGGAUGAGCUGUGGAUAGGGGUGAAAGGCUAAACAAAUCUGGAGAUAGCUGGUUCUCCCCGAAAACUAUUGAGGUAGUGCCUCGUGUAUGACUCCAGGGGGUAGAGCACUGUUAUGGCUAGGGGGACAUGGCGUCUUACCAAACCAUGGCAAACUCCGAAUACUUGGAAGUUUGAGCACGGGAGACAGAGCACCGGGUGCUAACGUCCGGACUCAAGAGGGAAACAACCCAGACCGCCGGCUAAGGUCCCUAAUAUUGACUAAGUGGAAAACGAAGUGGAAAGGCUAAGACAGUCAGGAAGUUGGCUUAGAAGCAGCCAUCCUUCAAAGAAAGCGUAAUAGCUCACUGAUCGAGUCUUUCUGCGCGGAAGAUGUAACGGGGCUAAGUCAAUAACCGAAGCCGCGGAUUCACACUUGUGUGUGAGUGGUAGGGGAGCGUUCUGUAAGCCUGCGAAGGUGACUCGUAAGGGUUGCUGGAGGUAUCAGAAGUGCGAAUGCUGACAUGAGUAACGUUAAAGCGGGUGAAAAGCCCGCUCGCCGUAAGCCCAAGGUUUCCUGCUCUACGUUCAUCGGAGCAGGGUGAGUCGGCCCCUAAGGUGAGGCUGAGAAGCGUAACUGAUGGGAACAAGGUUAAUAUUCCUUGACCACCGCUGAAUGCGAAGGGGGGACGGAGUAUUGAAGAUCAUCCGGGUGUUGGAUAUCCCGGUUUGCGAGCGUAGGAGGCUGACAGGCAAAUCCGUCAGCGAAUCUCCGAGGCGAAGCAUCGAGCUCUCUUUUGAGCGAAGUGAUUGGAUGUGCUUCCAGGAAAAGCCUCUAAGCUCCAGUUCAGCGGGACCGUACCGCAAACCGACACUGGUGGGCGAGCUGAAUAUGCUCAGGCGCUUGAGAGAACUCAGGAGAAGGAACUCGGCAAAUUGACACCGUAACUUCGGGAUAAGGUGUGCCUUUGUAGCGUGGAGGGAGAAACACCCCGAGCGCGAAGAGGUCUCAGAUAAUCGGUGGCUGCGACUGUUUAUUAAAAACACAGCACUCUGCAAAGACGAAAGUCGACGUAUAGGGUGUGAUGCCUGCCCGGUGCUGGAAGAUUAAUUGAUGGGGUGCAAGCUCCUGAUCGAAGUCCCAGUAAACGGCGGCCGUAACUAUAACGGUCCUAAGGUAGCGAAAUUCCUUGUCGGGCAAGUUCCGACCUGCACGAAUGGCAUAACGAUGGCCACACUGUCUCCUCCUGAGACUCAGUGAAGUUGAAGUGUUUGUGAUGAUGCAAUCUCCCCGCGGCUAGACGGAAAGACCCCAUGAACCUUUACUGUAGCUUUGCAUUGGACUUUGAACCGAUCUGUGUAGGAUAGGCGGGA
rnacentral:rRNA from 1 species